rnacentral:rRNA from 1 species
ACUCCUACGGGAGGCAGCAGUGGGGAAUAUUGCACAAUGGGGGGAAACCCUGAUGCAGCCAUGCCGCGUGUGUGAAGAAGGCCUUCGGGUUGUAAAGCACUUUCAGUAGGGAGGAAGGUAGUGUAGUUAACACCUGCAUUAUUUGUACGUUACCUACAGAAGAAGCACCGGCUAACUCCGUGCCAGCAGCCGCGGUAAUACGGAGGGUGCGAGCGUUAAUCGGAAUUACGUGGGCGUAAAGCGCAUGCAGGCGGCCUGUUAAGUCAGAUGUGAAACGCCCGGGGUCUUAACCGUCGGAAUUGCAUUUGAAACUGGCAGGCUAGAGUCUUGUAGAGGGGUUAGAAUUUCAGGUGUAGCGGUGAAAUGCGUAGAGAUCGUGAAGGAAUACCGAGUGGCGAACGGCGG